UCCACUGGAGCYGUUGGUAUUACAUCUGUAAACCUGUAUAAUUACUUGUUUCAAUCCCAGCUUAUCAUCAAUGAAAAUGAGUGUGCCUGCUUUAUUCAGAUGCACUUCCUUGUCAGGCUGCCACAUGGAGGACCAGAGUGCAACAGGAAGAGGUGUUAUCCGUCAGUGCUGAAAUGCAUCAGCAAUGCGGUGAGGGAGGUUGGUGGUUACCACUUUGAGAGAGAUGAGAGAAGUCAGAAGGUCUAUGAAGAAAUGGACAUCUGGGCGGAUAAACUAGAGAGUGCGGUGGAGUGUUAUAAGGUUCAAAUCAAGAGGAGGUUUAUCAGUAAGGCUGAGGGGUGGUCGCAUAUCUGUGGAUCCCUCAAGUCGGAUCACAGCUUGUUCCACUUCUCCAAGAGCUCAAAGAAAUAG
rnacentral:lncRNA from 1 species